GCCCGGGAGGGCAGGAUGGCCCAGGUCCUUAGGCCCUGCACCUGCAUGAGAGACCAGGAGGAAGCACCUGGCUGCUGGCUUCGGAUUGGCGCAGCGCGCUGGCCGUAGCGGCCACUUUGGGGGUGAACCAAUGGCAAAAGGAAGACCUUUCUCUCUGUUUCUCUCUUUCACUGCCUAACUCUGCCUGUCAAAAAAAAAAAAUACACAAUAGUUUAUUGUGAACUAUAGUCACCACACUGUGCUGUGGAACACCAGAACUUAUUCCUUGUGUCUCACACAAAUUUUUAAAAUUUUUGAUGAAGUACUAUUCAUCUAUUUCUUUCUUUGGUAUUCUGUACUUUUGGUAUUCCUAAGAAACCAUUGCCUAAGCCAAGAUCAUGAAGACUACCCUUAUGAUAGACUGUCUUUCUCUAUGUUAUGAUUAUUUAGGAUCAUGAACACUUCUGGGUUCUAAAGAGUGAAUAUGUGCACAGUAAAAUAUCUGGAAGGCUUCUAGCAAAACACUAAUAUGGCUUACUUCUUAAGUAUGUAAUGUAGACUGUUGGUGGGAAUGUAAACCAGUACAAUCAUUAUGGAGAUUCUGCAGAAGUCUGCCAAUAGAUAUACCUUAUGAUCCAGCCAUCCCAAUCCUAAGAAUUUAUCCAAAUGAAAUGAAAUCAGUAUAUGAAAGAAUAAUUUGUGUCCCCAUGUUUACUGCAGCUCAAUUCACAGUAGCUAAGAUGUGGACUCAGCCCAGAUGUCCAUCAACUGAUGACUGGAUAAAGAAAAUGUGGUAUAUAUACACUAUGGAAUACUACUUAGCCAUAAAAAGAAUGAAAUUCUGUCUUUUGAAACAAAAUGGAUGCAACUGAAAACCAGUAUACUUAGUGAAAUAAACUGGUCCCCAAAAGACAAAUAUCAUAUGCUUUCUCUGAUAUGUAGUUGCUUAAUAUAAAAUACAAAAAAAGUAUAGGAAUGAAAUGGACAUAUUGUCAUUUGUUGUUUUUAGUUCUUUUUUAUACUCCUAUAGAACUGCAGGCUUUCUACUUUUUACUUGUUGAAAAUUAUGCUUAGGGAUGCAAUAAGGCGGUGAGUGGAUUGAAAUUAUGUUUUUGCAAAAAUUAAAGCAAAAGAGGAAAGAAGGUGUACUGAGGGAGGGAAACAUAGUUAUCUUCUUAGAAUUGUACCUAUAAAACAGAUGAAAUAUGUUCUCUUUGUAUUAAUAAUAAUUAUAAAAAGAAUCAGUCAUGAAACAAAAUUUAGCUUCUGUUUUUUUUUAAAAGGAUAUAGUAUAGAGCCUCACAACUAUGCCUGAAAUAUUUUAAAACAAGUAAGGGUAGCUUUUGAAAUACACAUAAAACAAGAAAAAAGAGUCCCAAUAUUCAUUUAAUAAAGUUGAAAGUUAUAAAACAUCAUUUUAAAGAUUUUAUUGUAGAAUAAACACAGUUCUGUAUACUUGCUAGAAUGGUUAAAUGUCCCACUAUUAAUAAUGAAACAAAAGAUUUUGGCAAAUAUUGAACAUUUUUAAGAUCGACUGUCUUUAUUUGAAAGGCAGUGUUACAGAAAGCCAGAGUAAGUGAAAGAGAGAGAAGUCUUUAUCUGCUGGUUCACUCCUCAAAUGGCUUCAACAGCUGGAGCUGAGCCAAUCCAAAGCCAGGAGCCAGGCGCUUCUUCUGGGUGCAGGGCCUCAAGGAUUUGGGCCAUUUUCUAACUAUUUUCCCAAGCACAUCAGCAGAGAGAUGGAUUGGAAGUGGAGCAGAGGGGGCUCAAACUGGUGCCCAUAUGGGAUGCUGGCACUGCAGGCUGGGCUUUAAACCCUUGCGCCACAGCACUGGCCCCUCUUCUUAGGCAUAUUUAAGAUGGGCUUGCUAUAAAAGACCUGAGAAAGGUGUGAAAAAAAAGACAAUUUCAAGUCACAAGAAAAUCCCAUAUAUAGAUCAUGUCAGUUGAAAUUCAUACCAAAAAAAUUCCUGUAGGUAACCAUAGAAUCACAUGUGUAUACACACACAGACAUACACAAAUACAAAACAUAUAGAAGCAAAGGCAGAAUCCAAGAGAUUGAAGCACGUGAUCAGGAGUAUCCUCUCUUCCUGUUUCGUAACUACUCAGUUUAUCUUUACUUUGUCAGUUGCAUAUAUUAUGCUUAAGCAUUGAUUAUCAGUAAAAUAAUUUUAUGAGUUUAAAAAAAUAAAGAACUAUCAUAACUAGUUAUCUGUCAUCCAAUGCUGAGUAAUGAAAUAGUGACACAAAAUUCAACCUACAUUUUAACCAUGACAUAAUUGAAGAAAACAAAUAGUCAUGCAUUCCUCUGUGGAUAAAUGUGUAAAUAAUGUCAGCUUUCAUGAAUGCCUGCACAUCUUAUUUUCAACAUUUCAAUACAUGCACCUAUUAAAAUACCAAUAGAGGUUCCUUUGGGGUAGGUUGAGUUGGGAUACAGUAUUCAUGUCUUUCAUUGAUUUGUGUAUUCUACACGAUUUUUCACAAUGCUUAUGUAUUUGAAUUCAAUCACAAAUCUAGAACAAACAUGUACAGAAGAAAUUAUUGGUAAAACUUGCUGGCUUGAUGACACAAAACAAAUCUAAGGAAUCAGUAGUCUUGAGCAUACACAAGAGAAGGUUUGAAGAUACAAUCAUACUUUACAAGUCUUUCUCCAUUUGAGGUGGCAUCACCUGUGAUUUCACCGCACUUCUUUGUAAAUGAAUUUGUAACUGAACAUAUUGUUAAGAAGCAUGUUUAAUUUUGAGAAAUUCCAAAUGUCAGAGGCUACUCUCUUAAAAAUAGUAUUCCAAAGGAUAAUGAAAUGUGAAAAACGUUGUAGUUACAUUCAGUACAGAAAACAUAUUUGAACUCAGAAGAUACAAGGAAUUUGAAUAUUAUUUAAAAACUCAUUAGAUGCAUAUAAUUAAGAGAUGAGGGUGACAUUGAAAACUAUUCUUGUAGGGAUUGAGUCAGUUUAUUUUUAGCUUUGUGAAAUUUCAAAAAUUUGAACAAUUGUGCACAGCAGGUAUUGCUUUUUUGAAUAUCUUGGAUACUAAGAUUAUAAUGGAAUGAAGAAAUUUCAAGUUUUCCAAAUACAUAUAUGUGUGUGGAAACAUGACAAUUUGUGUAAGAUAAUGAUGAAGAUUUUUUUUCAAAAUGACUCCAUAUUCUCUUGAUUGUGGAAAUAAAGAUAUACAUUGCAAGGUGUCCAGUGCGUAACAAAUCUUCCCAGGCAGAUGAAUCAAUGAAUUCACAAGCUUUUAUUGGGAUUCCGCUCCCGGGUGAGGUUCCCCGGUCCCAACAGAGCGGGGGCCGGGGAAGUUGCACGUCAGAGGUUGGGAGGGCUCCUUUUAUAGAUACAGGGCACGGGGGUUAAAGGUUGGGGCAGUUCUGAUCCUCACUGGUUGACCUUUAGACACCUGUGGGGACCUGGACUAGGACUUUUCUUCCCCUGAAGUGCGGGUUAGGGACUCUCCAUUCCCGGAAGUAUAGGCCUUCCCUCCUUGCGGAUCCCAAAGCUACCAUACAUUAGCAUAUAUAUAUGUCUAUACAUGUACUCAUGGUCAAAAAUUAUAUCUUUAAAUCAUGGUGAUUAUUAUAGUAACAAUGCAAUUAAACUUCCCUCUUUUCCAUAUAUGCAUGAGUUUGUAUGUAUAUGUAUAUACAUGUGUGUAUGUACAUAUGCAUACAUAUUCAAAUUUUAUAUUUGGCUUCACCAACAGCCAUAAGUCUACAUUAAAAUGGGAUUCAUCUAUUUAUCAUGAUUUGGAUCAUAUUUUCACUUGUUUUGUUGGCAGAUUUCAUUAUCAUGAAAAAAUUGCAAGAUCCAAUUUUUAGUAGCCAAAUAUGCAGGGAAAUAUGUGUGAAAUAUUGUAGAUGGCUACAAAAAUAGUGAAUGUAUUGACUUGAAGCUUUGAGAAAAUGUGCAUCUGGAUCAUGGUAUAGGAGGUAUGCACACAUUUUGUUUAUACAAUAAUAUAAUCUGUUAUAUUUUUAAUAAUAAGAUUGAAUGUCAGGUAAAACUGUAGGUUAAAAUUUUGAGAAGGGAGAAAAAGCUGCAUUCUGUGAGGUAUACAUGUUUGUUUAUUUUAGGGAAUAUACUUAUAUACUGUAUAUGUGAACAUAAUAAAGUUUAGAAAACAUAAAUCUUCAAAUCUUGAUACCUGAGGGAUGGCAUCAUAGGCAUUAAAUUUCUGCUUGUUAAAAAAUUGUUUUAUGAAUUGAAAAUGUCUUCACUAUGACUCUACUAAUAUUUUUAGUGAAUAUGGCCAUAUGAGGGUUUUUUUGGCUAAUAUUUCAUUUACUAAAAAUUUAGGUCUUGUGGAUUUUCACAAUAAUGACAAACUUCCCAGGAAACAAGUGAAAAUAUGAUCCAACUGGUAACAAAGCCAAAUUUUAAUAGAAAAUUAUUUUGUAUGAAGCUAAAUACAGAUGUUUGUGUGCAUGCAUCAAAAUUAGUAAGUAUAUUAACAUUCAGUUGUUAUUGGUGUGUUGAAACAUAAUCCAAAUGUUUAUCAGUCUCACUGAAAAGUACCAUUUAUCACUGCUUUUAGUCUUCAUUUUCAUAUAGUUCGUUUUUGACUCAUUUGUAUGUCUCAGUUGCUUCUGAGAAACUGAUCCCUAAGUGACAUGAACAUACACAAUAAAGUCAUAGGAAGCCAUUGUCAGCCUUAAUAACUACAUGGAAAUGUCCCUGUGUUCCAGUCUUCAAUGAUGAAACCAUUAGACUACAUUAGCCUCCUCUGAUGGGAAUUUAUACAUACUUGAGUAGGUGCGUCUCUCCAAAUGGGCACUGUAUAGCAGCCAGUCUUGAGAACUACCUUCCUUAGAGUUCUAGACAAAUAGCUGCUUCUCCCUCAACACACAGGCCUGCUAUCCAGGCCAGAAAAUGGUGGAACUUGGAAAGUGAGCCAGGUCAAGAAUCAAAUGUACUUGUUCCUAGAUUUGCUCUUCUCUAAGCCCUUAGGUGCAACCAUUUUCUUUCUGAUCUGGAUCCCUGAAAUUUGCACUCUGAUAGUCCAAGACAAUUGGGUACUAUGAGAAAAUGUUGAAAAAAGUUGAGAAAAAGAACUGCAAAGGCUAGGUAAGUGGAAACUGAAUUUCUGAACUGAAAAGACCCCUUGAUGAGUGUGUAGUUUUAGGCCCCAGAUUUCAGUUAGAUACUAAAAGCAAAAUCAUCAGAGUGUGAACAGUUUCUUUAAACUGGGUAACAAACAAGGCAGCCAUAUUUCCUGGGGCUUUUGUCACUUGGUCACAUUUUUUUUCACACUGGAUGGGCGGGAGAAGAGGGCUGGGGGGCGGGGAGAGGGCAUUGUUAGUUGCCGUUCCUAGAGCAACACUGCCAUCAUGAGGAAAUGAGUGAUUAAAAACCCCCAAGGCUUCUUCCUUUAGCGUCCUUAACUGGGAAAGCCCCAUUCUGUCACAAGCUUAAGCAGGCCCGGUCCUAGUUGGCUCUCAGUUCCGCCUCCUGGGGCCUCCCUAGAGUUCUGGACGAAGAUCAAAGAUGGAGUCCAGGUAUAGCAGCUGCCCACGCGGGAAGCACGACUACGUCUGCCGCUGCCAGGAAGUCUGGGCACAGGAAGUCAUGGGGUGGAGUCUUGGCAUCCUCCCAGUGUGGGCGGGACUAGAGGAAUUCCACCAACUGACAAAGUCCAGGGUCUGUGGCUAUUUGUCUUGCUCCCUGCCCCUCAGAACCUGGGGAAAGCUGACACGUGGUGUUCCCAAGCUCUAGGGACUUGAAAUGCAGAGAACAAGACAAUACCAGGUAGUUUGUAGCAGGGCUCCAUGUGCUCUGCAUGCUGAAGGUCUCAGGUGCACCCAAGCUGUUUGGAGCUUGGAGGGCCUUGAAAAGAAGUGGAACCACCCAGCUAAGCUAAGAAGUGUUAGCUUUUCUGCUAGGAGAGCAGACCGCGCCCAAACAGAUGGAGACCAAAAACAAAAGGAGAAGACUGAAGAUGAACCUACCUUUUAAAAGUCCUUGUCUGCUGGAAGUGGCAUUUCCUGCGACUCUGCUUCACUUCUUCGUACAUGGCUGUUGUAGCAGGCAUGGUUCCUGGAGAUUCCUUCUAGUACCACCCAGACAAUUCGGUAUCACCAGGAAACUCUGGAGACACAAUGCUGAGUGAAGACCAGUAGCAAUGGGAAGACAUCGUCCUGUGGAAAUUAACUUCUUGACCAGAGAAGAUGCCUGAUGAUGUUGUCUUUCAGGUUUUCAGACACAUUCCAGGGAGAGGAGCAAACAUCAGCCGCCUUGAACUGGUUCAGGCCCUACUGUAAGAGUGGUGCCUGCACAGAUGCAUCAAAAAGUACCCAAAGGUCAGAUUUGCUUCAUUUCAUUACUAACAUCUCAUUACUGUAACACACAUCCAGUGUUGAUAACAUGUUCCCAAACUGCGCAUGAGUGUGAUGACACCCCUACCCUACAUGGGAUGACAAGAAUGCCCCCUCUUAAAUAUUCAUUUUCCACUUAAAUUAACAAUACCCUUUCCCUUACUUGGAGAGGCUUGGCUUUGAAAAUGAUUCCCUGUGACAUUGCUAUUUGCUGCAAAUAAAGUACUUUGCAUAGCAA